GGGGAAUCUUCCGCAAUGGGCGAAAGCCUGACGGAGCAAUACCGCGUGAGGGAGGAAGGCUUUUGGGUCGUAAACCUCAAAACUUAGGGAAGAAAACUGACGGUACCUAACAUAAGCAUCGGCUAACUCCGUGCCAGCAGCCGCGGUAAUACGGAGGAUGCAAGCGUUAUCCGGAAUCAUUGGGCGUAAAGAGUCUGUAGGUGGCACUACAAGUCUGCUGUCAAAGACCGAAGCUAAACUUCGGAAAGGCGGUGGAAACUGAAGAGCUAGAGUAAACCAGGGGUAGAGGGAAUUCCCAGUGUAGCGGUGAAAUGCGUAGAGAUUGGGAAGAACACCAGUGGCGAAGGCGCUCUACUGGGCUUUAACUGACACUGAGAGACGAAAGCUAGGGUAGCGAAAGGGAUUAGAUACCCCUGUAGUC
rnacentral:rRNA from 1 species